rnacentral:ncRNA from 1 species
CUUCUUAAUCCGAAAUGGCUGAGGAGAGGAAAGGUUCCCUUUUGAGGGUACCCCUGGGAACCGAUCCAGUGGAGACGUGGUGGGGCCUGUAGCUCAGAGGAUCGUGAACUUCUUUUCCCGAAGCAGAAGCAAUGACUAUAUCUAGGGAAUAAGCAUCUGUUAACUCUAUACCAGCAGCCGCAGUAAGUCAGAGGAUGCAAACAUUAUUCAAAAUGAUUGGGCGUAAAGCGACUGUAGGUGGCUUUUCAAGUUCGCUGUCAAAUCCCAGGGCUCAACCCUGGACAGGCGGUGAAAACUACCAAGAUGGAGUACGGUAGGGGCAGAGGAAAUUUUCAGUGGAGUGGUGAAAUGUGUAGAGAUUGGAAAGAACACCAAUGGCGAAAGCACUCUGCUGGGCCGACACUGACACUGAGAGACGAAAGCUAGGGGAUCGAAUGGGAUUAGAUACCCCAGUAGUCCUAGCCGUAAAUGAUGGAUACUAGGCGUUGUGCAUAUCGACCCGUGCAGUGUUGUAGCUAAUACGUUAAGUAUCCAACC